rnacentral:pre_miRNA from 1 species
UCAGCGUGAAAGACAUGGGUAGUGAGAUGUUGGCGUGGUAGUUCCACACCUCUCACUACUUUGUCGUUCACGUUGCG